GAUGAACGCUGGCGGCGUGCUUAACACAUGCAAGUCGAGCGAACAGAUGAGGAGUUUGUUCCUCUGACGUUAGCGGCGGACGGGUGAGUAACACGUGGAUAACCUACCUAUAAGACUGGGAUAACUUCGGGAAACCGGAGCUAAUACCGGAUAAUAUAUUGAACCGCAUGGUUCAAUAGUGAAAGACGGCUUUGCUGUCACUUAUAGAUGGAUCCGCGCGGCAUUAGCUAGUUGGUAAGGUAACGGCCUAUCAAGGCAACGAUGCGUAGACGACCUGAGAGGGUGGUAGGCCGCACUGGAGCUGGAACGGGGUCCAGACUCCUGCGGGAGGCAGCAGUAGGGAAUCUUCCGCAGUGGGCGAGAGCCUGGCGGAGCGGCGCCGCGUGAGUGAUGGAGGUCUUCGGAGCGUGAAGCUCUGUUAUUGGGGGAGAACAAAUGUGUAAGUAACUGUGCACGUCUUGACGGUACCUGAUCAGAAAGCCACGGCUAACUACGUG
rnacentral:rRNA from 1 species